CCUACGGGAGGCAGCAGUGGGGAAUUUUGGACAAUGGGGGAAACCCUGAUCCAGCCAUGCCGCGUGCGGGAAGAAGGCCUUCGGGUUGUAAACCGCUUUUGGCAGGAACGAAACGGCGCGCGCCAAUACCGCGCGCUAAUGACGGUACCUGCAGAAUAAGCACCGGCUAACUACGUGCCAGCAGCCGCGGUAAUACGUAGGGUGCAAGCGUUAAUCGGAAUUACUGGGCGUAAAGCGUACGCAGGCGGCUAUGCAAGACAGGUGUGAAAUCCCCGGGCUCAACCUGGGAACUGCAUUUGUGACUGCAUGGCUAGAGUCCGUAAGAGGGGGGUGGAAUUCCACGUGUAGCAGUGAAAUGCGUAGAGAUGUGGAGGAACACCGGUGGCGAAGGCGGCAUCCUGGACCGGUAUUGACGCUGAGGCGCGAAAGCGCGGGGAGCAAACAGGAUUAGAGACCCUGGUAGUCCACGCUGUAAACGAUGGAUGCUGGGUGUGGGUGACAAUACGGUCAUCCGUGCCGAAGCUAACGCAUUAAGCAUCCCGCCUGGGGAGU
rnacentral:rRNA from 1 species